UCUGGCUGGGGCUCCCGGAGGCCGCGGGGGAGGCGGCUGAGGCGCGGCGGCUGUGCAGGGCACCUCCCCCCGGCUUCCCGAAACCUGCCCCGUCUGACCCGAGGGGGAGGAUGGAAGGACCAGCCACGCUCUGAGCCCCUCAGGAAAAGAACACCCUUCCCGCCACAUCAGCCCGGGGUCCUGCGGAGGCCACCGCCUCGUCCCCUCCACGUCUCCAUCUCCCAGAGCGCGGCCGAGUGGAAAAGUGAGCGAUGGCAGAAAACGUGAGGAAACUGGUCUCGAGCGAAACUUUACGACUGAUGCACGACAAGCUAGAGUGCUGGCUGAGGGAGUACAACACGAACACAUGUGAUCAAAAUCUUAAUCAUUGCCUUGAGCUCAUCGAACAAAUUUCCAAAGUUCAAGGACAGCUCUUUAAGAUCCUCACUACGGCAGCCCAAGAAGGUGGACAUUAUGAUGGUGUGGAAAUAAUCAAAUCGCGCCUUCUGCCUUGGCUGGAGGCCUCCUUUACUGCUGCUUCCCUGGGAAAACCUGUUGACAGCAAGGUCCCCUCUCUACAGGACACAUUUGAUAAAGAGAGACAUAAAGAGUCUGCUGUUCGGGAUCGGGACAUGCAACAAUUAGACUCCGAGUUGACUUUGACUCGUAAUCAACUCAACCAGGUUCAAGACGAUCUGGCUGAAACUGAAAAGACUCUUGAAGAAACCAAGAACAGAUCGGCCAUAUCCCUUUUGGCUGCAGAGGAGGAAAUAAAUCAGCUAAGAAAGCAGCUUAAAUCUCUUCAAGUCCAGGAGGAAUCCCGCCACCGAAACGUAGAACACAGAAGCGUGGAGCAUCGGUGUGUGGAGCCUAGAACCUCAGAGCCGAGGACCUCUGAGCAGAGGCGGUUGGACCAGUGGGGCAUUGACAAGCGGGGCGCAGAGCAGCGGACCGAAGUGGUUUCUGAUUAUGAGAAACAGCUCCGAACGCUGAAGGACGAGAUAGCUGUCUUGUCUGCUGAAAAAUCUGUGCUUCAAGGAAGGUCCGCCCGGAGCCGGACUCCCAGCCCUGGCCCUCGCAGCCACAGCCACAGCCGCAGCCGCAGCCGCAGCCGCUCCACCAGCCCCUCCACCACGGUCGUGAAGAUCAGGAGCCCGUCCCCGAAUCGUGCCAAAAUGUCCAACGUGGCGCGCAAGGCUGCCCUUCUGUCCCGGUUCAGCGACGCCUACUCCCAGGCCCGGCUGGAUGCGCAGUGCCUGUUGCGGCGCUGCAUCGACAAAGCUGAGACCGUGCAGCGCAUCAUCUACAUCGCCACAGUGGAGGCAUUCCAUGUAGCUAAAAUGGCAUUCAGACAUUUCAAGAUCCGCGUGAGGAAAUCGUUGACACCAUCUCUCGCGGGGUCGAAUAACUUUGAGGAUGCCGUCUUGGAUUAUAUCAUUUGUCAUCUCGAUCUAUAUGAUUCCCAAAGCAGUGUUAACGAUGUGAUGCGAGCCAUGAAUGUCAAUCCCAAGAUUUCAUUUCCUCCUGAAGUUGACUUUUGCCUCCUCAGUGACUUCAUCCAGGAGAUAUGUUGCAUUGCCUUUGCCAUGCAGGCUUUAGACCCACCCCUAGAUAUUGCAUUUGGGGCGGAUGGAGAAAUUUUUAAUGAUUGCAAGUACCGUCGCAGCUAUGACUCUGAUUUCACUGCUCCUUUGGUCCUCUAUCACGUGUGGCCUGCUCUCAUGGAGAAUGACUGUGUCAUUAUGAAGGGAGAAGCUGUCACCAAGAGAGGGGCUUUUGUACGGUGGCCUUGCAUAGUGACAAUUCAUCCCAAGUGUUUGAUUCACAAUGGAAUUCAGUGCGAUCUGUAAGUCGAUGUCGAAGCAGGAGUUUAAGUCCCAUCUGUCCCCGUAGCCGUAUUGGUUUAAGCACGAUAUCUCGAAGCCGGAGCCCUUCUCCAAUAAGAUGUGGAUUGCCGAGGUUUUAAAGCCAGCAGACAUGUCCUUUUGCUACAGUACAUCUGCACCAGCUAACUUCCCCAGUGCCUGUCUCCUGUGCUUGCCUCAGAACUCACUUAAGAUAAUGUGAAAACGCAAUUCUGUGUAUCACUCCACCUGGAGAGUUAAAUGUUUUGGCUUAGCGUGUUUGUAACCUCA